rnacentral:rRNA from 1 species
ACGCAUGCAGCCGGACCGGCCCGCGUCGAGUUCACGGGGCUGCCGUCAGUCGCGUCCGUCGUCGGCACCGAAAGGGUCGACGGUGGGCCCGGGCUCUCGGCACCCCUGCACUCUCGGCGCUUCGGGCCGGCCAAGCGCGGCGGGAUCCGGGCGACGAGCUCGGUCGGGCAGGUAGCGCAGCCGCCUGGCGGAGGCGAACUUAUAGCCGGCCGAGCGGAGCGUCCGGGACCCGCCGAGGAGAGCGGUGGCACUUCCACCCAAGCAGCGCAGGCCGCCUGUCGGCAGGGGCUCUCUGGCUCGUUGGCGAGCCGCUCCGCGUCACUGCGUGCAGUGGCCGGGGACGGUGCGCCUCCGGGUCGGGGGUAGCUCACUCCUUGCGC